AACUUUUAGCAACGGAUCACUUGGCUCUCGCAUCGAUGAAGAACGCAGCGAAGCGCGAUAGGUAUUGUGAAUUGCAGAAUUGUGAAUCAUCGAAUUUUUGAACGCACAUUGCACCCACUGGUAUUCCGGUGGGUAUACUUGUUUGAGCGUCAUUUCACUCUCCCAUUUGGGGUUUUGGCUUGAAUAUUCUUGCUGAAUUAUAAUGGUGCCGCUAACCAAAUCUACAACGUGAUAGUUAUUUCGUUUGAUGUUUGGUAUAAAGCUCACCUUAAAACAUUAUUACGACCUCAAAUCAAGCAGGACUACCCGCUGAACUUAAGCAUAUCAAUAAGCGGAGGCU
rnacentral:misc_RNA from 1 species